rnacentral:rRNA from 1 species
UGACUGCCGGUGACAAACCGGAGGAAGGUGGGGAUGACGUCAAAUCAUCAUGCCCCUUAUGACCUGGGCUACACACGUGCUACAAUGGACGGUACAAAGGGCUGCAAGACCGCGAGGUCAAGCCAAUCCCAUAAAACCAUUCUCAGUUCGGAUUGCAGGCUGCAACUCGCCUACAUGAAGCUGGAAUCGCUAGUAAUCGCGGAUCAGCAUGCCGCGGUGAAUACGUUCCCGGGUCUUGUACACACCGCCCGUCACACCACGAGAGUUUAUAACACCCGAAGUCGGUGGAGUAAC